rnacentral:rRNA from 1 species
UCUGAUCUCGGAAGCUAAGCAGGGUCGGGCCUGGUUAGUACUUGGAUGGGAGACCACCUAGGAAGACCAGGGGCUAUAGGCU